rnacentral:rRNA from 1 species
AAAGGAAUAGACGGGGGCCCGCACAAGCGGUGGAGCAUGUGGUUUAAUUCGACGCAACGCGAAGAACCUUACCAGGGCUUGACAUCCACAGGAUCUGGCGGAAACGCUGGAGUGCCCUUCGGGGAACUGUGAGACAGGUGGUGCAUGGUUGUCGUCAGCUCGUGUCGUGAGAUGUUGGGUUAAGUCCCGCAACGAGCGCAACCCCUAUACUUUGUUGCCAGCACUAACGGUGGGCACUCAAAGUAGACUGCCAGAGAGAAUCUGGAGGAAGGUGGGGACGACGUCAAAUCAUCAUGCCCCUUAUGCUCUGGGCGACACACGUGCUACAAUGGUCGGUACAACGGGCAGCGAACCCGCGAGGGGGAGCGAAUCCCCAAAGCCGAUCCCAGUUCGGAUUGCAGGCUGCAACUCGCCUGCAUGAAGCAGGAAUCGCUAGUAAUCGCGGAUCAGAAUGCCGCGGUGAAUACGUUCCCGGGCCUUGUACACACCGCCCGU